UGUUGUUUUGUGUUACGGGCGUAUGGUGGAUGCCUUGGCAUGCUGGGCCGAUGAAGGACGUGUGAGGCUGCGUUAAGCCUCGGGGAGUUGCCAACUAAGCGUUGAUCCGAGGAU
rnacentral:rRNA from 1 species